CCAAAGGCUCUUUUAAGAGCCACCUACAUCUUUCACGAAAGAGCUU
rfam:Pterocles gutturalis contig38534, whole genome shotgun sequence.